CAGCAUUCCCUGCACCCUAGUCCUCUGUAACUUAGAUUCCAGUGUGCCGCGCAGUGUGCGCAAAUUCAUACAUCUGCCUGUAGGCUUGGUGGUUUCUGAAUCCCGAGACUUGAAACUCUUUGGGAAGAUCCUCUUCAACCUCAAAAGAAGAUGACAGCCCACAGAGAGACAACUUGUAUUUACAUGGAACUCAGAAAUCUCCUGCAAAUCAUGCAUGCAGAAGUUCCUGGCCAGAGAUCAAAGCCAAGCUACAGCAGUGACCCAAGCCGCAGCAGUGACAACACUGGAUCCUUAACCCGAGGCACCACCACAGAACUUCCUGGCUCAACGCAAGCCUCAUUUCCUCCAAGAGGCUGCCUUAAAUAACCUGUCCCCAGGGCAGAGACAGGAGAGCCUUAUCUGAACCCCUGGGGUGCCUGUGGCACCACCUGUCAUAGCCCUGUCCUUCCCAGGAGCUUCCAGUUCUCCAAGGACCCCCACCCUAUCCUGGGCUACAGCCCCAUUUCCCUGUUCUGGGCCGCCCUGGAGGUCUGAGGCCGCCAACGCGGCAGGGGGAACCUGGUGUGGGCGGAACUCGAGUGCAGCGGCGGGAGGCUUCCGGGGGAGCCGUAAGGGCAACGGGUCGGCGGAGGCAGAAAAGCGUCGGACGCCGGGCCGAUCAUGGACGCUUGACAACCUGCGGGCAGGCGCCGGGAGGCCACGCCAGCGACCGAGAGGACGGAGAGGCGGCGAGGACAGGUUUCAUGCAAAUUCUGAAGUUGGGUUGGUGACAUGUCACACAUCACUAGGAGGCCAAAUAAAAGAUCUCAAGGCCAGAGAAUGGCUGGUGAACAGAAACCCUCAAGUAACCUCCUGGAACAGUUUAUUUUACUCGCCAAAGGUACCAGUGGCUCAGCCCUCACUGCUCUCAUAAGCCAAGUUUUAGAGGCUCCUGGAGUAUAUGUCUUUGGAGAACUGCUGGAGCUGGCCAAUGUGCAGGAGCUUGCAGAAGGAGCUAAUGCUGCUUAUUUGCAGUUGCUGAAUCUGUUUGCCUAUGGAACAUACCCAGAUUACAUAGCCAACAAGGAGAGCCUGCCAGAACUGAGCACAGCUCAGCAGAACAAGCUGAAACACCUUACCAUCGUGAGCUUGGCAUCGAGGAUGAAGUGUAUCCCCUACUCCGUGCUGCUGAGGGACCUGGAGAUGCGGAACCUCCGGGAACUGGAAGACCUCAUCAUCGAGGCUGUCUACACGGAUAUCAUCCAGGGCAAGCUGGACCAGCGAAACCAGCUGCUGGAAGUGGAUUUCUGCAUUGGCCGUGACAUCCGAAAGAAAGAUAUUAAUAAUAUUGUCAAGACCUUGCAUGAAUGGUGUGAUGGCUGUGAAGCGGUCCUGCUGGGCAUCGAGCAGCAAGUUCUGAGAGCCAACCAGUACAAGGAGAACCACAGCCGGACUCAGCAGCAGGUAGAGGCAGAGGUUACCAACAUCAAGAAGACACUCAAAGCCACGGCGUCCUCUUCCGCGCAGGAGAUGGAGCAGCAGCUGGCUGAACGAGAGUGUCCCCCGCACGCCGAGCAGAGGCAGCCCACUAAGAAGAUGUCCAAAGUGAAAGGUCUGGUCUCCAGCCGCCACUAGGGCCGGCGGGGGCAGCUGGCACUCACCAGGCCUGGGUCAGGUGGCAGGGGGACGCCGAGGGCCUGUUUCCUCCCCUCUCUACCUUCCGUGAGUUCCAGACCUGCCUGUCCCCUCACCAGCGCCUCCCCCACAUUGGUACUGUUCCAGAAGAACCGUUAACUCCCUCCCCUCACCCACUCCUCCUUCCCCAGUUGCUCCCUUCAGACUCAGGGGCUCCACGGAUGCCACCCCAACAGGGCCAGACACUGCCCAGCUCCCCUCCAGGAGGUUCUUGUCUCUGUCUAAGGGCUUGUCUCCCUCCCAGUUUUUCUUUGGCUUCAUGUCGUUUUGUCAGGCUGCUCAUAAGCCGAAGCAGCUUUGCUGGCCCACGGGGAUGACCGCGAAGGAGGCCCCUCUGUGCGUGAGGGGCGUGCCUUCUCCAGCCCCGUGCCCCGCAGUUCCCACCCAGGUGCAGGUGCGCUCUAGCCGGGUAUCAGAAUGCUUUGUUUUCCCUCUCCUGCCUUAUCCUUUGCUGGCAGCUCCGAUCAGGCCAUGGAGGGAUGUGAUGCUGGGCUGUGUUUACUAAACCUGCGGGUUUUCAGCCUCUUAAGCCCAGCUCCAGUCUCUCACUAGUUGGGAGCCCCGGGCUGACUAACCUCUGGUAUCUGAGCACCGGUGGAGGGUGUUGUGGGUGUGCCGGGAGGCAGAAGCUUCUUCCGGCUCGGUGUUCUCUCCUGGCCGCUCCUCCUGCUGCCUCUGACUCCUCAGACGGGUCUUGGGGUCUUGGUGUGAAGGCCCCGGCUGCCCCCCGGACCUGUCUGCCCGCACUUGCUCUCCCGGGAUCGUCCAUCCCUCCCGGCUGCAUCUGCGGUGGGGAUGGCGGCGUCCAGGCCCCUCUCUGGUGAAGGAUCUGUUGCUGCUUCUGUUUCUGGCUUCCCUUCCUCCCCGGCUGGUGACCCAGAGCCCUCUGAUGAUGGCGAUCUCCUGGCAAGAGAAAAGGACUUGACUGGCCUUUCUGAACUUGAACGGUUUCAGGUUAUAUUUUAAUUUUUUUUUUUUUUUUUUGUACAGGUUCUGAUUCUAAUACAUUUCAACUUGCUUUUUUCCCCCCUUGUGUCAAUAUUUGUUAUAGACGAAUCGCCGGGGAUUUUCACCUUGUUGGAGGGUGGUGUGUGUGUAUGUGUGCGUGUGGUGGUGUUUUGUUGGGGUUUGUUUGUUUUAAAGAAAAGGCGGAGGUCCUGGACUGAGAGAAAAGCACAUUUUAGAACAAAAAAUAAAAAUAGGUUUAAUGUAUGUGAUGAUGGGAUUGCAUAGCUGGUGGAUCUGGAGAGGCUGGCACGAGGGUGGUUCAGAGAAAAUGUGAUAUACUGUUUCAGAACCAUGGUUAAAAAAAUGGAUUCUCCUUUUUCCAAAAUGUCCAGCAGCUGCCUGCCGUUGCUUGAAUGUUCACAAAGUACUCUCGUUUCCGUUUUCAUGGUCCGUGUGCCCAUAUACCAUUAUACCCAACUGGAGGGUUUAAUUCCCAAAGUAUGUUUCAUGAAACCCUUUGCUAGAUGCUCUGUGGAAAAGGGGUUCUGUUGUGAAAUAAAUCUGGCACAUCUUGCACCCCCGUA